CCUACGGGUGGUCAGCAGUGAGGAAUAUUGGUCAAUGGACGCAAGUCUGAACCAGCCAUGCCGCGUUCAGGAAGACGGCUCUAUGAUUUGUAAACUGCUUUUGUACGAGGGUAAACGCAGAUAAGCUUAUCUUUCUGAAAGUAUCGUACGAAUAAGGAUCGGCUAACUCCGUGCCUGCAGCCGCGGUAAUACGGAGGAUUCAAGCGUUAUCCGGUUUUAUUGGGUUUAAAGGGUGCGUAGGCGGUCGGAUAAGUUAGAGGUGAAAUCCCUAGGCUCAACUUCGGAAUUGACUAUGAUACUGGUCGGAUAGAGAGUAGUUGAGGUAGGCGGAAUGUAUGGUGUAGCGGUGAAAUGCUUAGAGAUCAUAAAGAACACCGAUUGCGAAGGCAGCUUACUAAGCUACUUCUGACGUUGAGGCACGAAAGCGUGGGGAGCAAACAGGAUUAGAUACCCUAGUAGUC
rnacentral:rRNA from 1 species